rnacentral:rRNA from 1 species
GACGAACGCUGGCGGCGUGCUUAACACAUGCAAGUCGAACGAUGAAGAAGAGAAACGCGAACUUCGGUUCAAAUUUCACUUCGGAUUAGUGGCAGACGGGUGAGUAACGCGUGAGCAACCUACCUCUUACAAAGGGAUAGCCUCGGGAAACCGUGAUUAAUACCAUAUGACACAUUCAUAAGGCAUCUUAAGAAUGUUAAAGCUACGGCGGUAAGAGAUGGGCUCGCGUCCCAUUAGCUAGUUGGUGAGGUAACGGCCCACCAAGGCGACGAUGGGUAACCGGCCUGAGAGGGUGAACGGUCACAUUGGAACUGAGACACGGUCCAAACUCCUACGGGAAGCAGCAGUGGGGAAUAUUGCACAAUGGAGGGAACUCUGAUGCAGCGACGCCGCGUGAGCGAUGAAGGAAUUCGUUUCGUAAAGCUCUGUUCUAUGGGAAGAAAAGGACUGUACCAUAGGAGAAAGCCCCGGCUAAAUACGUG